rnacentral:miRNA from 1 species
UGUGUGUAUAGUUGUGUGUGCAUGUGCAUGUGUGUAUAUGGAUAUACAUAUACAUACACACACACGUAUAAACGCAAGCA